CCUACGGGAGGCAGCAGUAGGGAAUUUUCGUCAAUGGGGGGAACCCUGAACGAGCAAUGCCGCGUGAGUGAAGAAGGUCUUCGGAUCGUAAAGCUCUGUUGUAAGAGAAAAACGGGUAUCAUAGGGAAUGAUGAUAUCGUGAUGGUAUCUUACCAGAAAGCCACGGCUAACUACGUGCCAGCAGCCGCGGUAAUACGUAGGUGGCAAGCGUUAUCCGACAUGAUUGGGCGAAAGGGGUGCGUAGGCGGCAAAAUAAGUCUGAAGGAAAAGGCGUUGGCGAAACCAACGUAUGCAUUGGAAACUGGUAAGCUAGCGUGCAGGAGAGGUGAGUGGAAUU
rnacentral:rRNA from 1 species